GAAUCAUGGGAUUGGUUUCCUCCAUGCUGUUCUUGUGAUAGUGAGUGAGUUCUCAUAAGAUCUGAUGGUUUUAUAAGGGACUUUUCCCCCUUUGCUGGGCACUUCUGUCUGCUGCCGCCAAGGAAAGAAGGACAUGUUUGCUUCCCUUCCACCAUGAUUUUGGUAUUGACAAAGCACCAAAAUGAUUUUAAAAUUGAGCUCAAAUAUCUGGAAGACGAUCUCCUUUUGCGCCUUUCUGCGGCAGAGGGAAGCUUUCUGGAUGACACCAAACUGGUAGAGAGACUGGAGGCAACAAAGGCCACCGCGGCAGAGAUAGAGCACAAGGUGAUUGAAGCCAAAGAAAAUGAAAGAAAAAUCAACGAGGCCCGAGAAUGUUACAGACCAGUGGCAGCAAGAGCAUCUCUUCUUUAUUUUGUUAUUAAUGACCUCCAAAAAAUCAACCCCCUCUACCAAUUCUCUUUGAAGGCUUUUAACGUGCUGUUCCACAGAGCGAUCGAGCAGGCUGACAAGGUGGAAGACAUGCAGGGACGCAUCUCUAUCCUGAUGGAGAGCAUCACCCACGCUGUCUUCCUCUACACCAGCC
rnacentral:sRNA from 1 species